AUGGCAUCAGAUCCCCUGGAAUUGGAGUUACCAGUGAGUUGCCGUGUGGGUACUUGGAUUUGAACUUGGGUCCUCUGCAAGAGCAGCCAUUGCUUUUAAACAUCUCUCCAGCCCUGCUGGGAAUUUCAGUGUAGAAAGAAAUCCUGAUUUCUUGGUGGGAAAAUUCACCUCUGAGUGUGACAGGCAGUAAGUCAGAGUGUCUGUCUUAGCUUCAGGACACUCCGGUUUGACGGAAGCAGACCCGACAGCUGCAGGCUUGAACAUCUCCCUGGCAACCAGAAUGACAACAGGGUUCUCCAUAAGCAGCCAAGUGUGCAUGAACAGUCUUGCCGGGCCUGGAAGCCUCUUGGGGAUUUUCCCCGCAAGUGUGACACAGGGAAUUCAGAUCUGUAAGACUGGGAUCGUUUUAGAAAUUCCGAGGGCACAAACAGGCGGUGUUCCGACCUAGACUGUAUCAUUCUGGGUCUUCGGCAGACAAUAAGAAUGACUUCCUCCAAGGUGCUCAAGAAACACGCAGGGCUCAGAGCUCUUCAGCUGGAGACAGAAACGGCCGGCUGUGGACCGCACAGGAAAGCAGGCUUGACCCUCUGGCCUCAGACCCUCCCAGCGCCCUGCACGGGGAUUCUGAACCGAGGUCGGUUAUCUGCAAUUACCCACUUUCCAUCUGCCUGCCCGCCGGACCACUGUGCAUAACACCGGUUACUUCGAUUGAUCCCUCAGAUGCAUACACUCAACACAGCUCGCGGACACUGCAAACAGCAAAGCAAAUCCUCUCCCUUCUCAGCCUGCUCUGCUGCCCACUCUCCGUCCCAGGAAACGGUGCCACCAAGUCCGUCAGACACUGGCCACAGAAGAACUCAUAGUGCAGUUCCAACUUCUGGUCACCAGUUUCCCAGCAUGAAAACCGACCACAGUUAUUUUCCCUCACAGGCUUGCUUUUUGGCUAAUGAUGGCGCUACCUAAUGGAAAGCGGUAGGUUCUUAUCACCAACCAUCACCACCAUCCUCUUCUGAUAUUCCCGUAUUUUUCUACACUUCCCAAACACAUUCUGCACCUGAUUUAAUUCCCUUGAUUCUCUGAUUAUUCCUUCUGGGAGGUUUUCUUCCCAGUAUAGACCAAGGAUGACUGAAGCGCUAAGGUGAUAGACAGGGAUCGGAAGAACAUACUUGAAUUCCUACUUCUAUUUAUCUUUUAAAUCUCCUAUCUAACCUUCUG